UUUUUUGAUGUCUAAAAUUAG
rnacentral:piRNA from 1 species